CAUUACGGGGCAAAAUAUUCAUCAAAAAAGUGCAGAGCUCCCUCUUAUGAUGCAACGAUAUAAUCAGCUUGUAUUAAAUAUCUUCAAGAGUAAAUUUUUCAGGACAAUUCUAAUCGCACACUAUUGUGCUUGUGACGUAUCAGUCGUGGUUAAAUAAGAGGCGACUAUGAAAUCUAUUCUGAGGUGUUUUAGAAAGAUGACUAAAAAUUUCAACAACGAGCUUCUUAAGGAACGUAUCUAAGCCAUGAGAUCUUUUAGCAAUGCUUUUGGGCGCAAGGGUAAAUUCCGGUCAGCAUGAGCAUAUCCCAGGCCAAAACGGUGCCGAAACAGAUCGCAAUACCUACGUCGUAUCGGGUAACGAUGCUAUCGCUUAAAGAAGUGCUUACGAGUGGUUUGCUAGCUUCGAAAACAGUGCCCGAAGCUUAGACGGGUUCCCGCUUUAGCGCCCGUUUGAAUUUGCGAAGGAUCAUAUGAAAGCAUUUUUGAAAGAAGACGGUCAAUGAACAGGGGCACACGACGAACGCGAAAAGAUUGGCUGCAGCCACACAAUCAUCAUUGACCACCUCACCUUAGGU